ACGCUCGACACCUACGGAGGCAGCAGUGGGGAAUAUUGCACAAUGGGGGAAACCCUGAUGCAGCGACGCCGCGUGGAGGAAGAAGGUCUUCGGAUUGUAAACUCCUGUUGUUGGGGAAAAAGAGGAUGGUACCCAACAAGGAAGUGACGGCUAACUACGUGCAGCAGCCGCGGUAAUCUGAGCGGGCGUGGCAAGGC
rnacentral:rRNA from 1 species